rnacentral:rRNA from 1 species
UACGGGGGGGGCUAGCGUUGUUCGGAAUUACUGGGUUUAAAGGGUGUGUAGGCGGACUUUUAAGUCAGCGGUGAAAUCUCCGGGCUCAACCCGGAAACUGCCAUUGAUACUAUUGGUCUUGAAUGUUGUUGAGGUGGGCGGAACGGGUCAUGUAGCGGUGAAAUGCAUAGAUAUGACCCGGAACACCGAUUGCGAAGGCAGCCCACUAAGCAACGAUUGACGCUGAGGCACGAAAGCGUGGGGAUCAAACAGG